UGGAGAGUUUGAUCCUGGCUCAGAGUGAACGCUGGCGGCGUGCCUAAUACAUGCAAGUCGAACGGACAAGUAAGAGCUUGCUCUUAUGAGUUAGUGGCGCACGGGUGAGUAAUGUAUAGCUAAUCUGCCCUACACUAGAGGACAACAGUUGGAAACGGCUGCUAAUACUCUAUACUCCUAUCUUACAUAAGUUAGAUAGGGAAAGUUUUUCGGUGUAGGAUGAGGCUAUAUUGUAUCAGCUAGUUGGUGAGGUAAUGGCUCACCAAGGCUAUGACGCAUAACUGGUCUGAGAGGAUGAUCAGUCACACUGGAACUGAGACACGGUCCAGACUCCUACGGGAGGCAGCAGUAGGGAAUAUUGCUCAAUGGGGGAAACCCUGAAGCAGCAACGCCGCGUGGAGGAUGACACUUUUCGGAGCGUAAACUCCUUUUGUUAGGGAAGAAUAAUGACGGUACCUAACGAAUAAGCACCGGCUAACUCCGUGCCAGCAGCCGCGGUA
rnacentral:rRNA from 1 species